rnacentral:lncRNA from 1 species
UUUUUUUGCCUUUUUUUUAUCAUAGGAACUAAGACUGCUGAGAAGAAAAAACAAUAGAUUUAAACUUAAAACUCUAUGGCCUUGUUUUGUUUUUUAUAAAAGGGCUAAGGUUUUAUAAAUGUCAAAUUGUGCAUUUUAUAUACUUCGUGAAUUUCAGAGAAGCGUAGUUUAAGAAUUUUGUUCAAAUUAAUGUGCACAAACAGGUAUGUGCACCCUGUUCAGACUAAUCAUGUAACUAACCCUGAAAUCAUCUGUGUUAAAUGAUUGUUCCAGCUAACCUUUUGCUAGGUAAUGCACAAGAUGUUCAGACUUCAUCUUGAGAUAUUCCAGAAUGCAUUUCAUGUAUCUUAAGGUUUCAUCAGAAACUGAUGAUCUUUUCACCUAAUCACAUGAGACACGUCUGUUUGCAUGUGAACCAUCCUCCUUCAUGCUGGGUUUUCCUUACGGUGCAUUACAAGGUAAUACACAGGUACACGUGAGCUAUGUGGUAGAUCUUUACACAGGCACUAUCAAAUACAGUGUGUUGCUCAGAGGUACGAGUAUGCUUUAAAUAAUUUCCCAGCUUCCAUUUUCAGGUCUUAAAGGGUUGUCACGACUUCUGCUUGAAGUGUUUAUUACUCUGUCUACUCUUUAACCUAAACGACUGCAAUAGUUCUCAUCCCCUCUCUUAGACUUAACAGCCGCUGCAGGGCCCAGGCUCCUGAACACUUACCCGUCUGCUUAGCUCCAGCACACUCACAUCAGCCAGUUCAGUGUGGCGAGGGAAGCCCUGAGUAAAGCUGGCCUGUGUGUAAGUGCGGGAGGGCUGGGCGUUGAGGAGCACAUCUGGAGCACAUCUGGGGAACUGCCUGCUCCCAGGAGGAGGUGAGAGCUGACAGGAGGUGCUGACAGGUUGUUCAGCCAGGAUUGCACUCUGUGGUCCUUGGGAACACCUACGAACCAAAACUAUGUAGAUCUUCAAGCACAUCCAUUCUUAAUGUUUCAAAGGUGGAAAAUCUACUCUUCACCUUGCAAAACAAAACCUCUCAGCUUUUUGUAGAACCAUUUUUCCUGUGGUCUCAGAUGAAGUCUAGUUUACCAUGUUAGGUUGGCUGGUUGGUUGCUUUUUAUUUAUCUGAAUGACAUUCUUAAUGAAACUGAUAUUUAAAAACCAUUUUACCAGCAUAUUACAUCCUGCUAGGAAACAGACAUGCAGAUACAGCAGCAAUAAUUGUGUUUAGUUCCUUUUCCCCUCAUUUUCUCUGUACUUGUGUUAAGUAGGUGAGAUUUUGAUACUGUCCUCAAGUCCGCUCCAGCAAAAACAUCAGUUAAAAACAAUGUUUGGAGUAAGUAAGUUGAUAAUGCAAUUGUCAAACUGGCUCUUCGUUCCUGCACUGGUUAUUCUGUAUGUCUUUUGUGAUGUGACUAUUCACAUCUUAAAACCACCUUCUAAACCAUACAAAACCCCAUGUACAUGGAUUCUGCUUUUAGAGAAAAAAGAAUAAAGAUUCAUUUUCCUCA